rnacentral:rRNA from 1 species
AGCAGUAGCGCGGGAAAACGGAGGGUGCAAGCGUUAAUCGGAAUUACUGGGCGUAAAGCGCACGCAGGCGGUCUGACAAGUCAGAUGUGAAAUCCCCGGGCUUAACCUGGGAACUGCAUUUGAAACUGUCAGGCUGGAGUCUUGUAGAGGGGGGUGGAAUUCCAGGUGUAGCGGUGAAAUGCGUAGAGAUCUGGAGGAAUACCGGUGGCGAAGGCGGCCCCCUGGACAAAGACUGACGCUCAGGUGCGAAAGCGUGGGGAGCAAACAGGAUUAGAUACCCCGGUAGUCCCUGUCUCUUAUACA